ACUCCUACGGGAGGCAGCAGUGGGGAAUAUUGCACAAUGGGCGCAAGCCUGAUGCAGCCAUGCCGCGUGUAUGAAGAAGGCCUUCGGGUUGUAAAGUACUUUCAGCAGUGAGGAAGGUAUCGUAGUUAAUAGCUGCAUUAUUUGACGUUAGCGACAGAAGAAGCACCGGCUAACUCCGUGCCAGCAGCCGCGGUAAUACGGAGGGUGCGAGCGUUAAUCGGAAUUACUGGGCGUAAAGCGCAUGCAGGUGGUUUGUUAAGUCAGAUGUGAAAGCCCGGGGCUCAACCUCGGAAUUGCAUUUGAAACUGGCAGACUAGAGUACUGUAGAGGGGGGUAGAAUUUCAGGUGUAGCGGUGAAAUGCGUAGAGAUCUGAAGGAAUACCGGUGGCGAAGGCGGCCCCCUGGGACAGAUACUGACACUCAGAUGCGAAAGCGUGGGGAGCAAACAGGAUUAGAUA
rnacentral:rRNA from 1 species